rnacentral:rRNA from 1 species
CCCUUAGAUGUUCUGGGCUGCACGCGCGCUACACUGAUGCAUCCAACAAGUUUUUUCCUUGUUCGAGAGGACUAGGUAAUCUUUUGAGAAUGCAUCGUGAUGGGGAUAGAUUAUUGCAAUUAUUAAUCUUCAACGAGGAAUUCCCAGUAAGCGCGAGUCAUAAGCUCGCGUUGAUUACGUCCCUGCCCUUUGUACACACCGCCCGUCGCUACUACCGAUUGGAUGGUUUAGUGAGAUCCUCGGAUUGGUCCCGGCGCGGCCUCUGGUCGUGCCGGAGUGCCGAAAAGAAUGUCGAACUUGAUCAUCUAGAGGAAGUAAAAGUCGUAACA